UGCCGUGAAAGUCCGGGGCUUAACUCCGGAUCUGCGGUGGGUACGGGCAGACUUGAGUGAUGUAGGGGAGACUGGAAUUCCUGGUGUAGCGGUGAAAUGCGCAGAUAUCAGGAGGAACACCGAUGGCGAAGGCAGGUCUCUGGGCAUUAACUGACGCUGAGGAGCGAAAGCAUGGGGAGCGAACAGGAUUAGAUACCCUGGUAGUCCAUGCCGUAAACGUUGGGCACUAGGUGUGGGGGACAUUCCACGUUUUCCGCGCCGUAGCUAACGCAUUAAGUGCCCCGCCUGGGGAGUACGGCCGCAAGGCUAAAACUCAAAGGAAUUGACGGGGGCCCGCACAAGCGGCGGAGCAUGCGGAUUAAUUCGAUGCAACGCGAAGAACCUUACCAAGGCUUGACAUGAACCGGAACGGCGCAGAGAUGUGUCGGCCACUUGUGGCCGGUUUACAGGUGGUGCAUGGUUGUCGUCAGCUCGUGUCGUGAGAUGUUGGGUUAAGUCCCGCAACGAGCGCAACCCUCGUUCCAUGUUGCCAGCGGGUUAUGCCGGGGACUCAUGGGAGACUGCCGGGGUCAACUCGGAGGAAGGUGGGGACGACGUCAAAUCAUCAUGCCCCUUAUGUCUUGGGCUUCACGCAUGCUACAAUGGCCGGUACAAAGGGUUGCGAUGCUGUGAGGUGGAGCUAAUCCCAAAAAGCCGGUCUCAGUUCGGAUUGAGGUCUGCAACUCGACCUCAUGAAGUCGGAGUCGCUAGUAAUCGCAGAUCAGCAACGCUGCGGUGAAUACGUUCCCGGGCCUUGUACACACCGCCCGUCAAGUCACGAAAGUUGGUAACACCCGAA
rnacentral:rRNA from 1 species